rnacentral:tRNA from 1 species
CGAGCAAUAGCUCAGUGAUAGAGCUCCCGCUUCGUAUGUGGAAAAACCUGGGUUCGGUUCCCGGCUGCUUCC